rnacentral:rRNA from 1 species
GGGGGGGGGGGGGGGGGGGGGGGGGGGGGGGGGGGCGGGCGGGGGGGCCGUGGGGGGGGGGGGGGCUCGGGUGGCGGACGGGGGGGUAGCGCGGGAGGAACCUGCCCUCGACUGUGGGAUGACUUCAGGAAACUGGGGCUAAUACCGGAUAGGAGCUCCGGCUGCAUGUGGGGGGGUGGAAAGUUUCGGCGGGUGGGGAUGGACUCGCGGCUUAUCAGCUUGUUGGUGGGGUAGUGGCUUACCAAGGCUUUGACGGGUAGCCGGCCUGAGAGGGUGACCGGCCACAUUGGGACUGAGAUACGGCCCAGACUCCUACGGGAGGCAGCAGUGGGGAAUAUUGCACAAUGGGCGGAAGCCUGAUGCAGCAACGCCGCGUGCGGGAUGACGGCCUUCGGGUUGUAAACCGCUUUCGCCUGUGACGAAGCGUGAGUGACGGUAAUGGGUAAAGAAGCACCGGCUAACUACGUG